rnacentral:lncRNA from 1 species
AUUGGCUGCUGUUGAGUCACAAGGUGAUGUCUACCUUCUUUGAGUAUGCUCAGCGCGUGCCAUCAUGGGGCCAUGUUCUUCCCCUUUGCUCUUGGAGAAUAGACAAAGCUACCCAGCCCAGCCACAGCCUCAUAAUCUUGUUCUACCUCCCUCUCCAGCCUCAACUAUUUCCAGGCUCCAGCUCAAGUCAUACAUCAGGAUGGCUUUUCUAUGCAGAUAACUUGACACACAGAGCCCAACUUUGGUCCUGAAUUCUGAGAACCACAGUUCAGAAUAGACGCUAAAACGUCUCAAUGUUAGCAGCCUUCCCCUAUGACUUUAUGAAGUGCAGCCCUACAGGAGAACUCAGGAAGCCACAUCUUCCAUCUGUCACCUUCUGACUGUUGAUCCUGUGAGUUCACAGGCCAGGGGGAUGCUGG